rnacentral:rRNA from 1 species
CCUACGGGAGGCAGCAGUGAGGAAUAUUGGUCAAUGGACGGGAGUCUGAACCAGCCAAGUCGCGUGAAGGAUGAAUGCCCAAUGGGUCGUAAACUUCUUUUAUAAGGGAAUAAAACGAGGCACGUGUGCCUUUUUGCGUGUACUUUAUGAAUAAGGAUCGGCUAACUCCGUGCCAGCAGCCGCGGUAAUACGGAGGAUCCGAGCGUUAUCCGGAUUUAUUGGGUUUAAAGGGAGCGUAGGUGGGUUGUUAAGUCAGUUGUGAAAGUUCGGGGCUCAACCCUAAGAGUGCAAUUGAUACUGGCAGUCUGGAGUAGGGGUGAGGUAGGCGGAAUUCGUGGUGUAGCGGUGAAAUGCUUAGAUAUCACGAAGAACCCCGAUUGCGAAGGCAGCUUACUA